rnacentral:rRNA from 1 species
CCAAUAGCGUAUAUUAAAGUUGUUGCAGUUAAAAAGCUCGUAGUUGAAUUUCGGGGUUCUACCGUUGGUCGGGCUUUGUCUGUACUGGCGUGUAGAAUUUCUACCUUCUGGGGAACCAUCAUGUUAUUAAUUUAGCGUGGUGGGAAACCAGGACCUUUACCUUGAAAAAAUUAGAGUGUUCAAAGCAGGCUUAUGUCUGAAUACAUUAGCAUGGAAUAAUAGAAUAGGACGGUGGUCCUGUUUUGUUGGUUUCUGAAUCACCGUAAUGAUUAAUAGGGAGAGUUGGGGGCAUUAGUAUUCAAUUGUCAGAGGUGAAAUUCUUGGAUUUAUUGAAGACUAACUACUGCGAAAGCAUUUGCCAAGGAUGUUUUCAUUAAUCAAGAACGAAAGUUAGGGGAUCGAAGACGAUCAGAUACCGUCGUAGUCUUAACCAUAAACUAUGCCGACUAGGGAUCGGAUGAUGUUAAUUUUAUAAUGACUCAUUCGGCGCCUUACG